UGCCCAGCAACUCCUAUCCCUACCUCUUCACGGAACCGGCCGGAAACUAUGAGCAACCUUAGGGAAGAUCGGGUAUCCAACCCCGGUGGGAACUUUGGUCAUAGGCUGACAGGGAAGG
rnacentral:ribozyme from 1 species